rnacentral:rRNA from 1 species
UGGGGGAUAUUGCACAAUGGGGGAACCCUGAUGCAGCGACGCCGCGUGAGGGAAGACGGUUUUCGGAUUGUAAACCUCUGUCUUUAGGGACGAAAAAAAGUGACGGUACCUAAAGAGGAAGCCACGGCUAACUACGUGCCAGCAGCCGCGGUAAUACGUAGGUGGCAAGCGUUGUCCGGAAUUACUGGGUGUAAAGGGAGCGUAGGCGGGGAGGCAAGUUGAAUGUUUAAACUAUCGGCUCAACUGAUAGUCGCGUUCAAAACUGCCACUCUUGAGUGCAGUAGAGGUAGGCGGAAUUCCUAGUGUAGCGGUGAAAUGCGUAGAUAUUAGGAGGAACACCAGUGGCGAAGGCGGCCUACUGGGCUGUAACUGACGCUGAGGCUCGAAAGCGUGGGUAGCAAACAGGAUUAGAUACCC